rnacentral:rRNA from 1 species
AUACGGGGGGUGCAAGCGCUAAUCGGAAUUACUGGGCGUAAAGCGCGCGUAGGCGGUUUGCUCAGUCGGAUGUGAAAGCCCAGGGCUCAACCUUGGAACUGCAUACGAUACUGGCAAACUAGAGUGUGAGAGAGGAUAGUGGAAUUUCCGGUGUAGCGGUGAAAUGCGUAGAUAUCGGAAGGAACAUCAGUGGCGAAGGCGACUGUCUGGCUCAACUCUGACGCUGAGGUGCGAAAGCGUGGGUAGCAAACAGGAUUAGAAACCCCAGUAGUCC